AGAACGAACGCUGGCGGCAUGCCUAACACAUGCAAGUCGAACGAGACCUUCGGGUCUAGUGGCGCACGGGUGCGUAACGCGUGGGAAUCUGCCCUUGGGUUCGGAAUAACAGCGAGAAAUUGCUGCUAAUACCGGAUGAUGACGUAAGUCCAAAGAUUUAUCGCCCAAGGAUGAGCCCGCGUAGGAUUAGCUUGUUGGUGAGGUAAGAGCUCACCAAGGCGACGAUCCUUAGCUGGUCUGAGAGGAUGAUCAGCCACACUGGGACUGAGACACGGCCCAGACUCCUACGGGAGGCAGCAGUGGGGAAUAUUGGACAAUGGGCGAAAGCCUGAUCCAGCAAUGCCGCGUGAGUGAUGAAGGCCUUAGGGUUGUAAAGCUCUUUACCCGGGAUGAUAAUGACAGUACCGGAGAAUAAGCUCCGGCUAACUCCGCGCCAGCAGCCGC
rnacentral:rRNA from 1 species